GAUGAACGCUGGCGGCGUGCCUAAUACAUGCAAGUCGAGCGAACAGACGAGGAGCUUGCUCCUCUGACGUUAGCGGCGGACGGGUGAGUAACACGUGGAUAACCUACCUAUAAGACUGGGAUAACUUCGGGAAACCGGAGCUAAUACCGGAUAAUAUAUUGAACCGCAUGGUUCAAUAGUGAAAGACGGUUUUGCUGUCACUUAUAGAUGGAUCCGCGCCGCAUUAGCUAGUUGGUAAGGUAACGGCUUACCAAGGCAACGAUGCGUAGCCGACCUGAGAGGGUGAUCGGCAACACUGGAACUGAGACACGGUCCAGACUCCUACGGGAGGCAGCAGUAGGGAAUCUUCCGCAAUGGGCGAAAGCAUGACGGAGCAACGCCGCGUGAGUGAUGAAGGUCUUCGGAUCGUAAAACUCUGUUAUUAGGGAAGAACAAAUGUGUAAGUAACUAUGCACGUCUUGACGGUACCUAAUCAGAAAGCCACGGCUAACUACGUG
rnacentral:rRNA from 1 species